UACGGGGGGGGUAAGCGUUGUUCGGAAUUACUGGGCGUAAAGGGCUCGUAGGCGGCCAACUAAGUCGGACGUGAAAUCCCUCAGCUUAACUGGGGAACUGCGUCCGAUACUGGAUGGCUUGGAUUUGGGAGAGGGAUGCGGAAUUCCAGGUGUAGCGGUGAAAUGCGUAGAUAUCGGGAGGAACACCUGUGGCGAAGGCGGCUUUCUGGGCCUUACCUGACGCUGAGACGCGAAAGCGUGGGGAGCGAACCGG
rnacentral:rRNA from 1 species